GUGGCCAGCCGCCGCGGUAAUACCGGCAGCCCGAGUGAUGGCCACUCUUAUUGGGCCUAAAGCGUCCGUAGCUGGCCGCACAAGUCUAUCGGAAAAUCCACCCGCUCAACGGGUGGGCGUCCGGUAGAAACUGUGUGGCUUGGGACCGGAAGGCGCGACGGGUACGUCCGGGGUAGGAGUGAAAUCCCGUAAUCCUGGACGGACCGCCGAUGGCGAAAGCACGUCGCGAAGACGGAUCCGACAGUGAGGGACGAAAGCUAGGGUCUCGAACCGGAUUAGAUACCCCAGUAGUCC
rnacentral:rRNA from 1 species